AAACUUUCACGGAACUGACGAGUAAAUCUGCAGAAACAGAUUCUACUCGGCCUUAAUCCCUGAAAAUUUCAAAAGCUUGAAGAAUGGAUGUGCCGAAAUCCCCAUGAUGUCUACGGACAUAGUACAAGUAUGUCUUCUGCUGGAGAAUUUAGAACGCUAAGUUCCGACCCACCCGUGGUUUGAUAUGCCAGUGAUUAUAAUUGUGAGGCGUCUCAAGAAAAGAAAAGAAAAGGAAAUGCGCUGGGGGUCGAAGAUGAAGGCCCGCAUACCACUAGGAAAAAUUAUUCGGUCAAUCUGUUGCGUAGCGAAGCAAAAUUCUCAGGCAGUCGACGCGAAAUCUCAAGAAACUUUACUCUGCUCUAAUGCGUCAAUACUCUACGCAAUCAAAUCAAUAUAGUAAAAAAAUGUUCAUUGCCUGUAUGCAAGCUCCUUGUUGCUCAGUUAACUCGGUUGCCGUUUGAGAAUUUGAAUUUUUCACAUCAUCCAGAUAUUUUACCAGCAUUCGCCUGCCUUCAUGCCUUGCUUUAUCGUGCAAGAGAGUCUAGCGCCAUCGGCCCAAUACAUCCACAUGUACAUCCGUCUCUCUCAGAGCCACCAACCCGUUGAUCGCACUCGUGAAGAACGUUUGCUUGGUCAGAAGUCUCAUUUCUGUUUGUACUCAAAUUCUUGCGAAGCAAUGAGUAAUAAUUGCUGAACGAUGAUACCGUCAAACCGGACAAAUUCACUGCGAUACAGAUGUUGUGAUAAGAAGCCAAGACUGUGGCUUUUCUUGGUCAAGACAAGGAAAAAAUCAUCGAACUAGUUUAUUUCAGAAUUUGUUAGAAAUGUUUAUUACCAACUAGGAAGGAGAAUAAGAAGACCAACGAUACGAAGGAAUGUACAUUUUGAUCAAAAUUCGGACAGGAAACAUUGUUACGACUCAUAAAUCAAAGCUUCCAACGGCGAAGACUUCGGGAUGUAAUGGCAGAGUAUUUUUCCCCAAUAUAAGGUUUUAGGGCUUAAUGGAAUACACAAAUUUGUAAAAAGCUUGCGCACCGUAUAUUUGCACGGAAGUCAUUUUCUAAAGCCGCGGCGGCAAUUGCUUAUCUAUCAAAUGGCUUUCCGAGCCAACUUACGAUACGCAAGCUUUAUUUUGUAAAAUUGUACUGUAGUUAAA